rnacentral:lncRNA from 1 species
GCCAGGCCUCCCUGCUGCUGCUGGCAUGAUGACAGUGGCCACUCCAGAUGGCCCACUGCUGCCAUCAGGAGGAGGGUGAAAAUCAGAAAGCUACCUACUGAGUACUAUGUUAUUAUUAUCGGGGUGAUGAAAUAAUCUGUACACCAAACCCCUUUGGCACACAAUUUACCUAUGUAACAAACCUGCACACCUAUCCCUGAAACUAAAAUAAAAUUUGGAAAUAAAAAUAAAUACUGCAAUCAAGAUGUCAGCUAGGACUAGACUCUUAUUUGUGCUUUGGGUUCCUUUUCUGCAGUCACUAGUUAUUAGUCAAAUUUAUUCCCUUUGCAAGUUUUCCACAUGGUCACUCCAUGUCAUUUUGAUACUUAAAAUAUCUCUUAUUUCCUUUUCUGCCACAUCUGACUGAUGUCUUCCUUUCAGGGCUUGAGUAAUUACAUUGGCAUCUACUUCAUAAUCCAGGAUAAUCUUCUAUUUUAAGGUGUUCCCUCGGAAGUUAGGAAUUCCCUUUCUCUCCAUAUUGCUGCGUGGGCAUGAAGGACUAGGUAAGCAUACUUAGAGUCUGCAUAUAUAUUUACCCUUUUUCCUUCUCCUAAUUUUAGUGCCUGAGUGAGGGCUAUUAGUUCUGCCAGCUGAGCACUAGUUCCUGGAGUGAGGGGAUUACUUUCAAGUAUUCCAUUAUCACUGACCACAGCAUAGCCCACUUUUCAAAGUCCAUUUUCUACAAAGGAACUUUCAUCAGUAUACAGGUUGAGGUCAGGAUCAGUCAAGGGAACCUCUAAAAGGUCCCCUUCAGUGGGGUAGGUUUGAGCAAUUACUUGUUGACAGUUAUGUUCUUUUUUUCCUUCAUUGCCUGGAAGAAAUGUGGCUGGGUUAAGAGUUGCACAAGUGCGCAGUUGCAGCACUGGCCCUUCAAGUAAUAGAGCCUGAUAUUUAAGUAAAUGGUUGUCUGACAGCCACAAGUCUCCUUUAGCAGUGAGUAUGCCAUUCACAUCAUGAGAUGUCCACACAGUAAGAUCUCUUCCCUGUAUUAUUUUAACUGUUUCAGAUACUAAGACUGCUACUGCUGCCACUACCUGUAAACAAUGGGGCCAACCCUUUGCCACUACAUCAAUUUUCUUACUCAGGUAUGCCACGGGUCGCAAGCUCAUCCCUUGGACCUGUGUAAGGACUCCUAGAGCUAUUCCUGUUUUUUUGUGAC